CCGUCAAUUCCUUUGAGUUUCAGCCUUGCGGCCGUACUCCCCAGGCGGAGUGCUUAAUGCGUUAACUUCAGCACUAAAGGGCGGAAACCCUCUAACACUUAGCACUCAUCGUUUACGGCGUGGACUACCAGGGUAUCUAAUCCUGUUUGCUCCCCACGCUUUCGCGCCUCAGUGUCAGUUACAGACCAGAAAGUCGCCUUCGCCACUGGUGUUCCUCCAUAUCUCUACGCAUUUCACCGCUACACAUGGAAUUCCACUUUCCUCUUCUGCACUCAAGUCUCCCAGUUUCCAAUGACCCUCCACGGUUGAGCCGUGGGCUUUCACAUCAGACUUAAGAAACCACCUGCGCGCGCUUUACGCCCAAUAAUUCCGGACAACGCUUGCCACCUACGUAUUACCG
rnacentral:misc_RNA from 1 species